CCCAGACUCCUACGGGAGGCAGCAGUGGGGGAUAUUGCACAAUGGGGGAAACCCUGAUGCAGCAACGCCGCGUGAGUGAAGAAGUAUUUCGGUAUGUAAAGCUCUAUCAGCAGGGAAGAGAAUGACGGUACCUGACUAAGAAGCCCCGGCUAACUACGUGCCAGCAGCCGCGGUAAUACGUAGGGGGCGAGCGUUAUCCGGAUUUACUGGGUGUAAAGGGAGCGUAGACGGCUGGUCAAGUCUGAAGUGAAAGCCCGGGGCUUAACCCCGGAACGGCUUUGGAAACUGAGCAGCUAGAGUGCUGGAGAGGUAAGCGGAAUUCCUAGUGUAGCGGUGAAAUGCGUAGAUAUUAGGAGGAACACCAGUGGCGAAGGCGGCUUACUGGACAGUAACUGACGUUGAGGCUCGAAAGCGUGGGGAGCAAACAGGAUUAGAUACCCUGGUAU
rnacentral:rRNA from 1 species